UCCACGCCGUAAACGAUGUCUACUAGCCGUUGGGGGACUUGAUCCCUUAGUGGCGAAGCUAACGCGAUAAGUAGACCGCCUGGGGAGUACGGUCGCAAGAUUAAAACUCAAAUGAAUUGACGGGGGCCCGCACAAGCGGUGGAGCAUGUGGUUUAAUUCGACGCAACGCGAAAAACCUUACCUGGUCUUGACAUCCUGUGAACUUUCUAGAGAUAGAUUGGUGCCUUCGGGAA
rnacentral:rRNA from 1 species